AGUGAACGCUGGCGGUAGGCCUAACACAUGCAAGUCGAACGGCAGCACAGUAAGAGCUUGCUCUUACGGGUGGCGAGUGGCGGACGGGUGAGGAAUACAUCGGAAUCUACUUUUUCGUGGGGGAUAACGUAGGGAAACUUACGCUAAUACCGCAUACGACCUACGGGUGAAAGCAGGGGAUCUUCGGACCUUGCGCGAUUGAAUGAGCCGAUGUCGGAUUAGCUAGUUGGCGGGGUAAAGGCCCACCAAGGCGACGAUCCGUAGCUGGUCUGAGAGGAUGAACAGCCACACUGGAACUGGGACACGGUCCAGACUCCUACGGGAGGCAGCAGUGGGGAAUAUUGGACAAUGGGCGCAAGCCUGAUCCAGCCAUACCGCGUGGGUGAAGAAGGCCUUCGGGUUGUAAAGCCCUUUUGUUGGGAAAGAAAAGCAGCAGGUUAAUACCCCGCUGUUCUGACGGUACCCAAAGAAUAAGCACCGGCUAACUUCGUG
rnacentral:rRNA from 1 species